AUGUAAUGCAAUUCCUACAACGUUAAGGUACCAUCUCCCAUUAGAAAUUUGUAGUUAAGUGUGCUUGGGAUAGAAUAGUACUAGUAUGGGUGACCUCCUAAGAAUUCCUAGUGUUUUAUAUG
rnacentral:rRNA from 1 species